rnacentral:rRNA from 1 species
GAUGAACGCUAGCGGGAGGCCUAACACAUGCAAGCCGAGCGGUAUUGUUUCUUCGGAAAUGAGAGAGCGGCGUACGGGUGCGGAACACGUGUGCAACCUGCCUUUAUCUGGGGGAUAGCCUUUCGAAAGGAAGAUUAAUACUCCAUAAUAUAUUGAUUGUCAGCAAUUAAUAUUGAAAGCUCCGGCGGAUAGAGAUGGGCACGCGCAAGAUUAGCUAGUUGGUGAGGUAACGGCUCACCAAGGCGAUGAUCUUUAGGGGGUCUGAGAGGGUGAUCCCCCACACUGGUACUGAGACACGGACCAGACUCCUACGGGAGGCAGCAGUGAGGAAUAUUGGUCAAUGGGUGCAAGCCUGAACCAGCCAUCCCGCGUGAAGGACGACUGCCCUAUGGGUUGUAAACUUCUUUUGUAUAGGGAUAAACCUACCCUCGUGAGGGUAGCUGAAGGUACUAUACGAAUAAGCACCGGCUAACUCCGUGCCAGCAGCCGCCGUAAUAC